UACGGGGGGGGCAAGCGUUGUUCGGAAUUACUGGGCGUAAAGGGCUCGUAGGCGGUCAACUAAGUCAGACGUGAAAUCCCUCGGCUUAACCGGGGAACUGCGUCUGAUACUGGAUGGCUAGAGGUUGGGAGAGGGAUGCGGAAUUCCAGGUGUAGCGGUGAAAUGCGUAGAUAUCUGGAGGAACACCGGUGGCGAAGGCGGCAUCCUGGACCAAUUCUGACGCUGAUGAGCGAAAGCCAGGGGAGCGAACAGG
rnacentral:rRNA from 1 species